rnacentral:rRNA from 1 species
UACGUAGGGUGCAAGCUGUGUCCGGAAUUAUUGGGCGUAAAGAGCUCGUAGGCGGUCUGUCGCGUCUGCUGUGAAAACUCAGGGCUUAACCCUGAGCUUGCAGUGGGUACGGGCAGACUAGAGUGCGGUAGGGGAGACUGGAAUUCCUGGUGUAGCGGUGAAAUGCGCAGAUAUCAGGAGGAACACCGGUGGCGAAGGCGGGUCUCUGGGCCGUAACUGACGCUGAGGAGCGAAAGCAUGGGGAGCGAACAGG